AGAGCUCUGAGGAGCUGUGAGCGAGGACAAACAAGAGCAGCCUUCCCAGAAGCCGUGCAACUAAAAGCCGUUGCUAACUCAGCCCAUACAGCUGACGCAAAUUGUGAUGCUUCAGAAAAAAGGACGUCUCAUCCCUCUAAAAC